UGGGGUAUCGCCAAGCGGUAAGGCACCGGUUUUUGAUACCGGCAUUCCCUGGUUCAAAUCCAGGUACCCCAGCCA
rnacentral:tRNA from 22 species